AGAGUUUGAUCAUGGCUCAGAUUGAACGCUGGCGGCAGGCCUAACACAUGCAAGUCGAACGGUAACAGGAAGCAGCUUGCUGCUUUGCUGACGAGUGGCGGACGGGUGAGUAAUGUCUGGGAAACUGCCUGAUGGAGGGGGAUAACUACUGGAAACGGUGGCUAAUACCGCAUAACGUCGCAAGACCAAAGAGGGGGACCUUCGGGCCUCUUGCCAUCAGAUGUGCCCAGAUGGGAUUAGCUUGUUGGUGAGGUAACGGCUCACCAAGGCGACGAUCCCUAGCUGGUCUGAGAGGAUGACCAGCCACACUGGAACUGAGACACGGUCCAGACUCCUACGGGAGGCAGCAGUGGGGAAUAUUGCACAAUGGGCGCAAGCCUGAUGCAGCCAUGCCGCGUGUAUGAAGAAGGCCUUCGGGUUGUAAAGUACUUUCAGCGGGGAGGAAGGUGUUGUGGUUAAUAACCGCAGCAAUUGACGUUACCCGCAGAAGAAGCACCGGCUAACUCCGUGCCAGCAGCCGCGGUAAUACGGAGGGUGCAAGCGUUAAUCGGAAUUACUGGGCGUAAAGCGCACGCAGGCGGUCUGUCAAGUCGGAUGUGAAAUCCCCGGGCUCAACCUGGGAACUGCAUUCGAAACUGGCAGGCUUGAGUCUUGUAGAGGGGGGUAGAAUUCCAGGUGUAGCGGUGAAAUGCGUAGAGAUCUGGAGGAAUACCGGUGGCGAAGGCGGCCCCCUGGACAAAGACUGACGCUCAGGUGCGAAAGCGUGGGGAGCAAACAGGAUUAGAUACCCUGGUAGUCCACGCCGUAAACGAUGUCUACUUGGAGGUUGUGCCCUUGAGGCGUGGCUUCCGGAGCUAACGCGUUAAGUAGACCGCCUGGGGAGUACGGCCGCAAGGUUAAAACUCAAAUGAAUUGACGGGGGCCCGCACAAGCGGUGGAGCAUGUGGUUUAAUUCGAUGCAACGCGAAGAACCUUACCUGGUCUUGACAUCCACAGAACAUUCCAGAGAUGGAUUGGUGCCUUCGGGAACUGUGAGACAGGUGCUGCAUGGCUGUCGUCAGCUCGUGUUGUGAAAUGUUGGGUUAAGUCCCGCAACGAGCGCAACCCUUAUCCUUUGUUGCCAGCGGUCCGGCCGGGAACUCAAAGGAGACUGCCAGUGAUAAACUGGAGGAAGGUGGGGAUGACGUCAAGUCAUCAUGGCCCUUACGACCAGGGCUACACACGUGCUACAAUGGCGCAUACAAAGAGAAGCGACCUCGCGAGAGCAAGCGGACCUCAUAAAGUGCGUCGUAGUCCGGAUUGGAGUCUGCAACUCGACUCCAUGAAGUCGGAAUCGCUAGUAAUCGUGGAUCAGAAUGCCACGGUGAAUACGUUCCCGGGCCUUGUACACACCGCCCGUCACACCAUGGGAGUGGGUUGCAAAAGAAGUAGGUAGCUUAACCUUCGGGAGGGCGCUUACCACUUUGUGAUUCAUGACUGGGGUGAAGUCGUAACAAGGUAACCGUAGGGGAACCUGCGGUUG
rnacentral:rRNA from 2 species